CUCAUUGGUUGCUAGGAGCUGGAAGAACCAGAGAGUAAGGUAGAGAGAGAAAGGCUGGUGCAGGGAAGAUGGGCAGCAGGGUUUGGGGGGAGCUUGGAUGAUGGGAGAUGUGGCUGAUAAGGCAUCGCUGGAGGGUUGCUAGGAAGGGAUUGAGGAUCGGCAUGAAGGGAAAGGGCAUUUGUGGGGAGGGGAACAAACGGUGGUCUGUUUAGGUAAUAUUAAUCUCUGGGUGUUGCAUUCAAACUUGUGCAGUAUAUAUUUAGAUAGAAAUGUGUAUUUGUUUACUUGUGUUAAAGUGGGUCUCAGUCUGCUGUGUGGGUCCCUAGACAUUUGAUCUGUCCCAAAGUCCUAACAUUAUAGUGCCACUUGGAUCAAAUGUCAACAACACAGAAGGGAACAGAAUGUUAGGAAAAAAGCAGAAUCUAUCAUGGUUUAGGUUAGAAUAUUUGUCUAAGAUCAAAAUUUACAAGAGGAGUGGAUAUCGUCCUGUGCUCCCAGGCCAUGCAGCCUACACGGCGGGGCCGCCUGUCCACACCUGGAGUAGGUACUAGCCUGGGUGUUGAUGUCACCACUAGCCCUUCCAUCUCUGGUGAUCUUCGGCUGCUCCAUGUCAUAGAUUGUGGUGAGCAGUUACUUUGUUGUCAGUUCAACAACGAUGGGACGCGGAUUGCAGCAGGAUUGAAGAACGGUUCCAUUAAGGUUUAUGCUGUCCACGAUGGGCUGCUUCACCAUAUUCUUGCUGACAGUGAGACUGCCACGUUGGGGCUACCUAUCACCUCCCUGCGCUAUCUGCCCCGGGGCCCUGCCCACAACGGAGACGUCUUGCUCGCCACCUAUUCUGGUGGGAAGGUGAAACUAUGGCACGUCUCAUCCCGCACUUGUAUGCGCACGUUAACAGAGGACCGGCAGACAAUGAUAUCCUGCUUCAACCCUUCAGGUUCCAGGUUCCUCACAGCAGGAGCAGGGCUUGGUAUUAACAUGUAUGAUACUCAGACCUGGAAUAAAACAGGAACCUAUGAGCCAAGUGAUUCUCCAAGUUUGAUGGACGGGCACGUGUACCGGGUCUAUGCUGUGACCUUCUUUCCAGAAAAUGACAAUAAUUUUAUCUCUGGAGGAUGGGAUGACACUGUUCAGUUCUGGAACACACAGUCACCACAUUCUGUACGGCGCAUCUCUGGGCCCCACAUUUGUGGUGAUGCUGUCUCGAUAGACAAAACCGGGACACAGAUUUUGACAGGUUCCUGGAGGCGUAAUAACACAAUCCAGAUCUGGGACGCCGACACAUGUGCCAAAAUCAUGGACAUCCCUGAAGACUUUCGGGGUCACUCGCAGAUUUAUACCUGUCAUUUCCUCGGUCUUGAUCACAUCAUAGCUGGUGGGAGUCGAAACAACUUAUGCCGGCUUAUUGACAGGAGGAUCCUCAUGAGUACGGGGGCACUGAAUGGGCUGCCUGGAGGGGUCUACAGCACCCAUAUCAGCAGCCGCGGGAUCUUAGCAGCCACUUCCCUGAACUCCUUGUUCCUGGCACAGACUCCUGUACGACCCUGAACCUUCCUUUAAAGUGGGAUUCUUGCACCCACCAGGAGAGAUGCCACCAACACCUCGGUAUGGACAAAUCAUGGUCUUCCACUAAGGACUUGUAUUGCUGAUCAUGGUCGAUCCCAGCACGUCCUGUUUAUAUUCACAUCUUCUCAUCAUGUUCUCCCGUCAGCGAUGCAAGACACUGUGCCUUCCAAAUCAUGGUUUACUUUCAUGGAUGUUUUCCCAUUUUGAAUCAAGGGCAGAUUCGCCAUACCAGCUUCAACCUUCUCUUCUUUCAUGAUCACCCCUGUAUACUUUCUUGCUGUAUUCUUAUUGACUGCUGCUGUCAUCUAAUAUGCACUAAUCAGACUAGGUAAUGUUACCAGAAGUCUCUGGGGUUGAAACAUAUCGCAUAAUCCCUUGUUGUACCAAAUCAUGAGGACAUAGGUGAGAAGCCUGUUCCAUUACAGUACACUUUUAAUCAAAUGUUUGGAAGUUUGCCCUUGUAUUUCUGCAUAAAUUUGUCGUCCCUGCCCAGGGGCUAAGAUCUCUCUCCCUCCCUCCCUCUUCCCAACUCGGCUGUCAUAAAACACUGCCUUGGUGCCAAAUUAAACCAUAUGACCACUUGUGUGUACAGGAUCCCUGAGUUCUUUGGGAAAGGAAUGAGAUCUGCCCAUACAUGAGCGGAGCAGGUGGCAGCUCUGGCUACUUCCAGGUUGAAGCUUCUUUUGGCACGGAUAGUUAGAAAGCAUUUUAUCUUCUCUUCUUAAUGGAUUUUUUUCUGGCAUUAAGAAGAACUGUCAAAGAAACAACUGGAAAAAUGGCAGGUUAUAAGUGGAAGAUCAUGAUAUGCUGUAAAAUAAUAUCAAUGACAUGGGGUAAAAUAAAAAAACUCAGCUGCAAGCA